AGAGUUGAUCAUGGCUCAGAACGAACGCUGGCGGCGCGUCUUAAGCAUGCGAGUCGGACGGCAAGGGGAGCUUGCUCCCCCUAGAGUGGCGGACUGGUGAGUAACGCGUGGGUGACCUACCCUUGAGAUGGGGAUAGCCAUUAGAAAUAGUGGAUAAUACCGAAUACGCUCUUUUUGCUGUGGCGAGAAGAGGAAACGGGCUACGGCCUGGCUCGAGGAUGGGCCCGCGUCCCAUUAGCUAGUUGGUGAGGUAACGGCCCACCAAGGCGACGAUGGGUAUCCGGCCUGAGAGGGUGUACGGACACAUUGGGACUGAGAUACGGCCCAAACUCCUACGGGAGGCAGCAGCUAAGAAUAUUCCGCAAUGGACGAAAGUCUGACGGAGCGACGCCGCGUGGAUGAAGAAGGCCCGAAAGGUUGUAAAAUCCUUUUGCUGAUGAAGAAUAAGUGGUGUAGGGAAUGACAUCAUGAUGACAUUAGUCGGUGAAUAAGCCCCGGCUAACUACGUGCCAGCCGCAGC
rnacentral:rRNA from 1 species